rnacentral:rRNA from 1 species
GACGAACGCUGGCGGCGUGCCUAAUACAUGCAAGUCGAACGAGAGCAACCGGUGCUUGCACUGGUCAAUCUAGUGGCGAACGGGUGAGUAACACGUGGGUAACCUGCCCAUCAGAGGGGGAUAACAUCCGGAAACGGAUGCUAAAACCGCAUAGGUCUUCGAACCGCAUGGUUUGAAGAGGAAAAGAGGCGCAAGCUUCUGCUGAUGGAUGGACCCGCGGUGCAUUAGCUAGUUGGUGAGGUAACGGCUCACCAAGGCCGUGAUGCAUAGCCGACCUGAGAGGGUGAUCGGCCACAUUGGGACUGAGACACGGCCCAGACUCCUACGGGAGGCAGCAGUAGGGAAUCUUCCGCAAUGGACGAAAGUCUGACGGAGCAACGCCGCGUGAGUGAAGAAGGUUUUCGGAUCGUAAAACUCUGUUGUUAGAGAAGAACAAGUGCUAGAGUAACUGUUAGCGCCUUGACGGUAUCUAACCAGAAAGCCACGGCUAACUACGUG